rnacentral:rRNA from 1 species
GAUGAACGCUGGCGGCGUGCCUAACACAUGCAAGUCGAGCGAACAGAUGAGGAGCUUGCUCCUCUGACGUUAGCGGCGGACGGGUGAGUAACACGUGGAUAACCUACCUAUAAGACUGGGAUAACUUCGGGAAACCGGAGCUAAUACCGGAGAAUAUAUUGAACCGCAUGGUUCAAUAGUGAAAGACGGUUUUGCUGUCACUUAUAGAUGGAUCCGGGCCGCAUUAGCUAGUUGGUAAGGUAACGGCUUACCAAGGCAACGGUGCGUAGCCGACCUGAGGGGGGGUAGGGCCACAGAGAGGGUGAGAGGCGACCCAGACACCGACGGAAGGCACCAGCAGGGAAGCGACCGCACUGGGGGAAAGCUUGACGGAGCAACGCCGGGUGGGUGAUGAAGGGCUGCGUAUGGGAAAACGCUGUUAUUGGUGAAGACCAAAUGUGUAUGUAACGAUGCGUGUCUGAAGGUAACCGAAACAGAAGGCCCCGGCAACCUACUU